CUUUCCGGUGACUUUCCCGGCGACGGAAAGAGCUAAUCACAUAUUUUACACCCGAGACACAUUCAUAAUUCAUAGCAAGCACAAACAUGUGUUUUUCAAGACUCAAAGAUCCGAAAAGACAAGAACCAAGAACAAAGAAGAGAAGACGAGAAAGAGAAAGAACCUGUGAAUUUUGUUAGUGUCUUGAUUCUUGAAUCUGUGAAAGCAAGAUUGGAUCUGGAGAUGGAAUAGAGAAUGUUGUGCUGUUGUUGUUUUAACCUCCACAAGCUUCUUGAAAAUGUGAAACCAAAGAAGAAGAAGAAGAAGAAGAAGAAGAUAGAGAAGGAGAGAAAUGUGAAAACGAAAAGAGAAUAAGUACUUUCAGGUUUUUAUGAUCAGAGCUUUUGCUUUAAGAAAAC
rnacentral:lncRNA from 1 species